rnacentral:rRNA from 1 species
CCUACGGGAGGCAGCAGUGAGGAAUAUUGGUCAAUGGACGAGAGUCUGAACCAGCCAAGUAGCGUGAAGGAUGACUGCCCUAUGGGUUGUAAACUUCUUUUAUAUGGGAAUAAAAUGUUCCACGUGUGGGAUUUUGUAUGUACCAUAUGAAUAAGGAUCGGCUAACUCCGUGCCAGCAGCCGCGGUAAUACGGAGGAUCCGAGCGUUAUCCGGAUUUAUUGGGUUUAAAGGGAGCGUAGGUGGAUUGUUAAGUCAUUUGUGAAAGUUUGCGGCUCAACCGUAAAAUUGCAGUUGAAACUGGCAGUCUUGAGUACAGGAGAGGUGGGCGGAAUUCGUGGUGUAGCGGUGAAAUGCUUAGAUAUCACGAAGAACUCCGAUUGCGAAGGCAGUUCACUGGACUGCAACUGACACUGAGGCUCGAAAGUGUGGGUAUCAAACAGGAUUAGAUACCCUAGUAGUC